UCCCAGGGGGUCCAGUGGUUAAGACUCUGGGUUCCCAACACAGGGGACCUGGGUUCGAUCCCUGGUCAGGGAA
rfam:Ovis aries breed Texel chromosome 1, whole genome shotgun sequence.